GGAUAUUAUGGCUUUUGUUAUUAGUGUGAUUGUUAGCACUUGUUGGCUUUAUUGGCAAAUUCUCACUGAUUUAGAUUAAUAGCUGAAGCAAUUGAAGUCACUGAGCGCCCGAUAAGUGGGCCGGGGGUUCGAGUUCAACCGGGUCCGGCCCAGGCGACCGCCUUAUUCAGGCUUAGUCGAGCCCGAGUCAAGUCAAUUUGGAACUCUGGUCGAUUGAACCAGAUGAGAACGGCAUCCUCAAAGUCGGACCCGUGCCCUAAAUGCAGCGGUGAAACCGUCUCCUUCUCCACAGCGACCGCGACUGCGGCGUUUUCCUUGGCGAAAGGCGGCAGCAGCGGCGGCAUCUUCCUCCGUCGAGCUCUUUUCGCUGCGGCGUUUUCCACGAAGAACGGUGGAUGCUGCGGCUUCCUCUCCGUCGGCGAACGGUGACAGCGCCCGGGAUAUAGUGUGCUUCACAGUUUCUAAAGCUACUAGCUACAAUAGAUAAAUAGCGGAAGGUAGUGUCAGUGUGCAUGUGUCUUAUCAAGACAUUAUUUCAGUGGUGGUUAAUAGCUUGGAUGUGAGCAUGGUAAUAAGUAAAUGUUCAAUGGUACUCUUAAUCAACAUUCAAACACGAUUUAGAGGCUUACAUCUGAAAGAAACUGUUAAUGGGAACUGAAUGCCGGUGGAUUUACGUGAGUGGUAGGGGAAUGUUAUCCGAUACAGAUGUUUAGUUGGAAGCUUUCAACUUCCUUUUGGUUGGAAGCAGAUACAGAAAAUAUAUUUAGUUCGGAUGUGCUUGAUUUGAGGUAGAAGAGGCAUUUGGACUUGGAGAGGACAGCAAUAAAACUACUUUUCUUGUGUUUUUCUGCAAACAGUGUGUGAUACUGCUUCAAAAUAUAAUGUUUUUGGUGCAAAAGAGGCUCUUUUGCAUUCUCCCAUGUAACAAGUCCACCGUCCAUCUUUCUUGCUAUGAAAUCUGCAGACUGUUUAGUAGCUUUUCCACCGCCAAAGACCAAAUUUCAGAUCAUAAAUCCAACUUUACCGUGGUCAAUUUCCUUCAAUCAUGUGAACUUUCCUCAGAAAAGGCUGCAAAAACAGCCAAGUGUCGCACCUGUCACACAAAAUCUUCAAGUUCAAGUCUUUCCAUUGAGUUCUUUAAGCAGAGUGGUUGGAGUGAUGCACAAGUCAUGAAGCUUAUGCAGAGGGAACCCUGGCUUCUACGUGCUAACGUAGAGACUAUCCUGAAGCCCAGGAUGAGAUCUUUGCAGGACAUGGGAUUUUCUGACACUGAAAUAGUUCAGCUGGUUUCAUCAUGUCCGUGUCUGCUCUAUUUACGUGAUAUCCAACCAAGGAUCGACUUCUGGAGGUCACUUCUUGGUUCUCAUGAGAGGUUAAUUAAAGCCAGCAGGAGGAGCAUGUUUCUCCUUUCUUCUAGCUUGGCUGGAAAGAUUGAGCCCAAUAUAUCUCUUUUGAGAGAGUGUGGCUUCAGUGAGCAAUUCAUCGCGCAGAUGGUGGUCGCACAACCGAGUUUUUUUUGUCGAACGAACAAAUAUAUCGACGAAUCUAUCAAACGUGUUGAGGAGUUGGGUGUGUCACGGGACUGUAAAAUGUUCCCUCAUGCACUUUUAUCAGUCAUGACCCAGAGCAGGUCCAGGUUUGAUGCUACCUUUGCAACCUUGAUGAGCUUUGGGUGGUCCCAACCAGACAGCCUUGCUACAUUCAGGAAGCAUCCAGGCAUUUGGAAUUACUCAAAGAAGAACAUAUCUGACAAGGUGACAUUCCUGAUGAAGGAAGCUGGUUGUGAGCUGACAUAUAUCAUUGGCCAUCCCGUGCUUCUUACAUAUAGUUUGGAGAAGAGGUUGAGACCUCGAUAUGAAGUUGUGAAUUUUCUUGAUCAGAAUAAAUUGCUGGAUAAAGGAUAUAACCUGCUAUCUGUCAUACUGCUGUCUGAAGAGAAGUUCAGAAACAAAUUCCUUUUCCUGCUACGCAAGGAGAAAUUUAUUGCUCAAUAUGAUUCCUACGUUGUUGCUGUGCAGGGAAAGCACCACGUUGUUGUGGAAAACUAGGAUUUCAAGUGCUUCCUUAAGACAAAGUGUCAUCCUAUUGCAUGCUGACUGCAAAUUAAUCACUUUAUAUUUGUGACAAUUUAAAUUCUGCAAGAGUUUCUUGGAAUUGAACUUCCACGUUGA